UGGGGGCCGCUCAAAACGCCCGUACGUGAUUUCGUGGAGGUGUGGGGGUGACGGCUGCGUAUGACCGGGUCUCUCCGAGAUCACUGUGGUCUCGGCCACCCGCUGGUAGCUGCUCACCGGGGGUGCUGGGUGAAAGCGGUGGUCUCUGCAAAAUGACUACGUUAUGUGUGAGUUUGAUAGGAGUCACCAUGGUGAGGAAAGGAAUAAUGGAUUUUCAGUCAUGGCUUCCUUCUUCCCCCGGAGAGCAAUGAGUCUGUUUCCCUUUUUCAAUAACAGCUUUAUUACAGCAUGUUAAAGGGAAACAAGAAGAUGAACAGACCGGGCCUGGCUGUGCAGCGAUCACUCUUCUGAGGAGCCUGUGUGAAGAGAUGCUGGUCUGGGAGUCAAUCUGAGGAAAAGCAGAAGAUAUUUGCUUUAUAUCUGAAGUAUUAUUCAAGUUCACUCCAGAAGACAAGAGAACUGUUGGUACAUGAUUUAUAUAAAGCUCUAAGACCUGGUGCUGAAGGAAACUUCUCUCAGAAGUGUGCGUUUAUUUUUUGAUACCUUUGGUGAUACGUGCUGCUUCAUCUACCAUCUCUGGGCAUCAACCAGCCCUGUGUUUCAGGCUGUACCGGAUGGCAGUACUUCUUUGUUUUUGUAAUGUAUGUCUCACUUACUGAGAAAGAAGAUGAAGAUUGGCUUUGACAUUGUGUUGCUGCACUGUAAAUUUUACUAUUAGAGUAAGGUGCAAAGGUAUCCUAAAUCCGUCUGAUGGCUCACACCAGACCUCUGUCAGGAGCUCUCUGAUUAGAUUUCCUAGGAAGUCAAAACACUGCACCAAAAUGGUAGCAGGAAGGAUUGUGCAGUGCUGGAAGAUCUCAUCCUGCCUGCUUAUAGUGCUGACUGUGCUUCUGCUUUUUGAGAAGACAGGAGAAGAAAGAUGGAGAAAGAGGAGAUGAGAAGAUUUGGAUGGAAAAUAAUACAGUUUUCAUUGCAGACUUAGAAGGGUAUCUACAAUUUUGUAGCAUCAUGAUUUGAGUGUCCAGAGAACCUCCAAAAUAAGACUUAAGACCUUAAUGAAGGUUUUAUUUUGGAGAGAAUACAAAAAGCAGCUGACAGUAUUUUAAUAGUUUUUUCUGGACUUGCCUUUUCAGCCUCUUAAAAUUAAUUGAAGAGCCACAGACCAACACACAUUUAUAAAUAACAUAAUGCAGUUGGGGAUAAUGCAAAUGUCUUUAUAAAUAACACAGUAUAGCUUAAAUCAUUAUUUUUAAUGCUGCUGUUUUUUGUUCCUAUAUGAACAGGUCUGUACUGGUCUGCAUUAAUUAAAUUUAAGUAGGAUUUCUAAGGCCAGAUCAUCAUUACUUCUGUGGACCUGAUUUAAGUCUGCAGUAAAACAUUUCUCCAUUUAGUCUGGUGCUUUUGUGUCAUAUUUCAUACACUAGUUGUCUCUUAAUUAAAUCCAUGAUGGCCCACCAACACAGACUAUUAAAAUAACUAUACUUUGCACUUGACAUAUUUAUGAUACAGAUUCAUAAGAGUAUAGACUGAUACUUGAACUACUCACUGAGAAAUGCUAAUAAGAUUAUGAUGAAGUUAUAUCUUUCAUGGAAAGGCUCCUGUACAUCACUGAAUCCAAGUGUGGGCACAAUUGCAGAUGGCUGUAAAUACAUGCAGUUUGAAGGAUAUUUAUAUUAUCAGUGUGGUGUAUAGAAACCCAGAUCUACAUGGUGUUCUGAUUUCUUUGGUGAUGAUACAUUACCGUGCUUCACACUGGUAUUUUCUAUGAAAUUAUUGAGUGAAGUCACUGCCUGGCAGAUCUCUCAGUGAUGUCUCAGAAGGAAAGGAGAGCGCUGGUGGGGCUGUGCAGUGGCAGCACAGGGAGAAGUGCUGGGGCUGUGUGAUGGCACGGAGACGGCACUGCAAGGAAAGAGGAAGAGUGAGUGAACCUGCGAGCAGCACAAGCCCAGGGCAGAAACAGACAUCAUCUGGAACUGUCUGCCCACCAAUGCUUUAGAAACAACACUGAUGAUAACAAAGCAUAAACUGGAAAGAUGGCCAUUAUUUGUAAUCACAGGUUUUUAAGCCCAGGACAGUGUGCGCAUUAUAUAACUGCUCUACGCAUACCUUCAGCAUGAAUAUGAAGAAUACAUAUGUCAAGAGCUACAAGCCCAGUGCACAACACUAUCUGUUACACACGGAUACCGGCAAUAUUACAAGGUGGACUCCAGGGAUAAGAGACAGCCAACCCCGCACACCUCCCACGCCUGAGUCAUACCCGGGGUAACGCCAGGUCCUGCUCAUACCUGCUGUCGGCAGAAAUGAAACAGUACGAGCUGUUGUGUUUCAGAGCCUUUUUUAAUUGAUUCUCCAGAAUGCUUGAUCUUACCUGCUGAUAUCCCUGUGUUAUUAUUCAGAGGCACAGUCUAUCUGCAUAGCAAUGGACAAAAUGCCUGUGAAAAUAUUGCUAUUCAUUCAGUCGAUGCCGGAACUGGAGUAGGCACCAGCUACACUCUGCAAUGCUUGUCCUGGAAUAUUAAUAAAUAAAUCAUAAAAGCCAAUGCUUCAAAUAUUGAAAAAUUCACACUUCAAACUGUGUUUUGAACUAUACUGAGAGCAAUGUCUCAGAUUGUCCUUUUGCUUUAUAUGAACAGAGGAAAUUCAAAGUAGGAGGAACUCUCUCUGGGGAUUUGGUGUAGGGGAGUGCCACAAACCAUCAUCCUUCCUGUCUCUGCCAUGCCAGAGUGGCCUCUCCUGGGAUGUGCCAUGAGGAGCAGACAGCACAUCUGGGGAGCUAAUGUGGCUUCAGAUGAAAUUAUCUCCUGCAGAAUCCAUCUUGGCUGACAGCAACGUGCACGCAAAGCAGCCAGGCAGUGGCGGGGAGCCAGGUCACAGCAGGGCAGGUGAAGGCUCGGUGGAAGGCAGCACCUCCCUGUGACUGUCUGGGUUAAACAAAGUUCCUUGCCACACUGGUUAUCCUUCUAUUCAGGGCUCAUAUUGGUAAGCUCAAUGUCAUUGAAGCCCCCAGCCCUGCUACCCACUUGCAGUGCUCUCUCGCUGCAGGUCCUGACUCACAGAGUGCUGCACGGUGUGCUGUGCAUGUCCGCUGUGCAAGGAAGGGUGAGGGAAGAUGCGCUCUGAAAGGUAUGCUCUAGUUCAAGAAUUGCUAGCUGGGCUGGUGUCUGAACUGCAGAAUGGGUUUCCGUGGUGCGUGUCAUGCAGGGGGCUGCUUGUAGGCACUUCUGAUGGUUCCUUUUUUUUUUAUUUUGCUUUAAAAGCAUUGAAAUUAGCCAAAAGCUAAAGCAUAUAAUGGUAUUUUGUAGUUUAAUUGUGAAUACAAGGCUGGACUGGCACUGGAAGUCACUCAGGUACAUCUAGUCAAAGGCCAGAAGAAUAAGCACUGCGGGUAUUCAGUGCUUUAUCUGAUUAGAAAAGCCUGGCACAGAUGUGAUUUCUGCUCCAUAUAUCAAGUUAUGGCAGGCUUUUGCUGCUUCAUUAUGAAAGCAUGUGAAGUAAAAUAGGUUUUGGAACAUAAAAAAUGACAAAUCUGGGAAAAUAUCUAUAUACCAGAUGGGUGUAGGAAGAAUCUUUGUGACAAAUAUAUUAUUAAGGGAAUGCGCAUAAGGAAAGAAACAGUGCCCCUCUCCUCCAAGGAUGGACAGGCAGGAAGGUGGCGUCUCACUGUGUCUAAUGUAUUCUCAUCUAGCCUAAAUCUAAUUAAUUGUAUGGCAUCGCUGACAUAAAAUCUAGGCACCACAUGCAAUAAUCAUAAGCUUCAUCGGGGUGCUGGUAGGACCUGGCGAGUACUCUGCCAUCCCCACUUUGUUCCCCUGGACGUCUCACAGAGGAAAGCUGCUGAUGCAGGGCCCUGGCUGCGCACCAUGGGCAGAUAGUGGCCGCUCACCUCCUCCCCUCACUGCCACACUCCAUCAUCCUCCUCUGAGGCACUGCUUGGAGGGGCCAUGUAGGAAUGGACAUUAUCUGUAGGUUCCAGCUUGAGGCACCUGCAACCUGGGGGACUCUGCAAAAUGCUGCCCUGCUGCAUGGUGCAGAGGUCUCAGCUUUCCCUUGAUGCACACCUUGUUGGGGUUUUGCUACAUACCUGGUUUAGACUGAGGGUGCAAAUGACCUAACCAUGAUUAGUGUGUUCAGAAUUGAAGUAGAAAUGAAAAAGGGAGGAAGGUGGGGCAGUCCUGUCGCUUGGCUUCCUGUAAUGCGAUUUCACUGAUGCCCUAUCAGCUAUCUGAUUGCUCUUUUCCUACUUACACCAAACA